UAAAAAUUACAAUUUGCAAGAUAGAGAAAAUAUUUCCUCCUGGUUUCUUUGAUCCCAUGGAACAUCUGCCGAUUCAUUUAGCAUAUGAAGCAAUAGUUGGUGGUCCAGUUCAGCUUCGGUGGAUGUAUCCUUUUGAGCGGGAGCUACAUAAUUACAAAAAAAAGGCGAAAAAUAGAGCUCGUGUCGAGGGAUCAAUAUGUGAAGCUUAUAUCAUUCAAGAAAUUUCAACUUUCAGUUCCUAUUAUUUCUAGCCUAACGUGCAAACUAGGCUAAACAAAGUUACUCGAAAUGAUGAUGAAGAUGAAGUUGAUGCACCUGAUGGUUGUUUGUCCAUCUUUUGCAUCCAGGACGUGCAAGUGGUGGGAAAGAUGGUCAGUAUCUGACUGAUGAUGAGUGAGAUGCGGCACGUUUAUAUGUUCUGUUAAAUUGUGAGGAGGUUCAACAAUUCGUCCAUAUUUUUGAAGCUGAAUUAAGAAGGGAUUCGGAAAAUAUUAGCCUCGAGCAAAUUGAGAAAGAG